GCUUCCAUUUGUUUUGUUUAUGUUCUUGCAGGCUGAAGUGGUUCCUGUUUACCUUCAAAUGUUGGUUUUGUUCAUUUUUGGCCAUGUAUGCUAAGCAUAGAAUAAGAUUUUCAUGAAAGGCAUGAAGCAACCUGAGCUAAAUCUCCUUUACAUUUAAAAUGCAUUUCAUGGAUAUAUGUAUUGUCAAAAAGAAAAGUAGGUCCCACCGGGAUUCGAACCCAGGUUGCCAGAUUCAAAGUCUGGAGUGAUAACCACUACACCAUGGAACCGGAUCUUGUAUAUGGUCCUUUGAUGAUGCCAUUUAUGAUAUGAUUCUAUAGGCACAUAAAAGGGCAUGAAAAAUAAACACUUUUUGCUUGUAUCUGUUUGUUUUCUAUGGGCACACUUGCAUUGUUUGAUUCAAUAAAGUCGUCUCCUUUUUGAGCUUGCAGAUAGUUGGCAUCUAGUUAAAUUAUGGGAAUAGCCAAAAGAUCACUUUAGUUAAAGUGUUAUUUUGGUAUAUCAUUAGUAUGGCUUGAUGUAUGGAUGUGUGUUGUCUUGGGAAUUCCACGCUUUUAAGAAACUUGUAGUGAAAUGGCGUCCUAAGAAUGGAUAUGGUCUUAGGCCAAUUUGGCGCUGAAUAUUUACUUAUGCCUGACAGAAAUUAGUAACGCAUGAGCGUAAAAUGGGUACUUUUCUUAAUUUGUCAAGAGCUGUUGUCCGACAGAUAUCCAUGUCAUUAGUACUUAUUCUAAUGUAAAGUUCACUCGAAAAGGUAAUCAUCGAAGGCAUGGCAAGGUGGCAGAAUGGCAGUUAGCUUCAUGGGCUCUGCUCAAUCAGGAUCUUGUAGAGAAGCCAGGACGCAAGAAUCCAGACACAGCACAUCACCCUCUAGGAAACAGUAUCUUAAGGCUUCUUGAGUAGCAGCGCUGAGAAUUGUCUGGACUGUGGGAAGACUAGCGGCAGCCUAAUCUUGUGGAAGUUGGGCGCCAGGACCGUCCAGGUAAGGUGUACUAUUAGAUGACUUAAGUCUAAGAGAUCUAGUGUCUGGUUUGUGCAUGCUGCCACAAAAGUGGAGGUUUUUCCUCUUCUAUCAGUGGAAGUUUUUGAGUGUGACUGCUAGGCAACGAGUCAAGAUCACCUUGUUCUGAACUUCUGAUACCACAUGAAGUUGGAGUUAGCUUGCAUUGGAGUGGGGGGCACCGGGUGAUACAAAGUUUGCAUGGGAUCCAAGGACACCGACGCUCUGAAUCCCUGGUUGUGCCAAACAGAAUUACUCCCUUCGGCCCUAUAAGAAUACAUGGAAUGUGUGAUCAGCUAGAGAAAGCUGCUGCAUCCUGAUGUGGGAAUACACUCGCAGAUGCAUGACUGCAGUUGCCACUGAGAAGAACUUGAGCACUAUGGUCUAGGAAUAUCCAUGCCUUCCCUUUGAUGAUUAGCUUUUUUGGGUGGGCGAAUGUUAUUACCAGAACCAUCUAUUUGUGUCAAACAAAAACUAUCAUAGUCUAGGGUCGCUAAUAGCUAAUGUCUGUGGACAUUUUAUGCACAUGAAACCCUCUUUGAAAUGAUGGUAGGUGCAGGACUAUUGAUGACUAGUGUGUGAUAUCAUUAUGCUGCUGUCUAAUGUACUUUACUCUAAUAUAGAAAUAUUCUUUUGACAUAUGCAUAAUGUCCUUAGCUAGUCAAUGUGGGGCCUAACAGAAAAAACACAUAUUAUCUUAUUACAUGAUUGACUGAGAUAAAUUUACCUCAACAGGGUUUUCCUUAUCAUUAUUAUUAUUUUGGCUCUGUUCACGUUCAGUUCUUUUGCCUUCAACCCCUGUAACAGCUUUUGCAUAGAGUACUAGAUUACACCAUUGUAUGCUGUGAUCGAUUCGUGGUGGCCUGAUGCUUCAAGACGUUUUGCGGUGGCCGAUCAGGAAAAGGUUAAUUCCUUAAUCAUGCUGAGCCUUUGACUGGAGAUAAAUUAUUGCAUCUUCGAAGACAAGCGCGCUCCUGCUAGCUCUGUUUUGAGCAUGCCCCUUGAUGAGGGGCACGCGUGGGUUGCUUGUAGAGGUGGGCAGCCGAGAGCAAUAGAGUAGCCCCGGCUUGUCUUUGAGCCCCCAAAGUGGUGGCGUUUUGGGUGGUCUUUUUCCAGGUUCUGCAUUGACCUCUUUUCUCUUUUUUUUUUUCUUGUUCUGUUGUCGUUUUGUUUUGGACAUCUUGGUCCUGCUUUUGAGCUUAAUACAAUGACGUGCAGCUCUCCUACGGGUUCUAAAGAAAAGAGUACUAGAUUACACAUGCAUUGUAUGUAUAUAUAACGUUGCCAAUCUUCAGUUUAACCCGUUUUUCUACAGGGGAGAACACCAUCUGAAUCAGAUUGGAUGGAUAAGCCAGAGCAAGAGUGCUCUUCGCGAGCCAAAAUGAGUUUUGUCCCUAGAACAUGUGGUACCUUGUUUGCUUCUUGUGGGCAAUGAUUUUUGUUCCAUGAUGUAAGAAUCCCCAAAGAUGACAGCUGUGUCUACGUGGGAUUAUACAAUCUGAGAUGUUGACCAUGUGAUUACAUCCCAUUUGAGCAGUGAGGUUUAAGCUCUGCCAAUCCAGCAUCGAUGACAUACAAAGUAAUCUGUUGAAGCUACAAUAAAUAUGCUCCCGUCAUCAUAGAUAAUUGUUUCACCAUAUGCAGCAUCCUCUUUGUUUAGAAAGAUUUCUGUUUUACUUUUGGAGGCUUGGAACCCUUAUGAAUCUUUUCUACUACUAGCUCCAUUCCGAUUUAAUGACUGCCAGUAGUAGCACACUAGCACCACAAGUGAGUAUGUACGCAAGUUGUUUCCGCUGAAUGGCGUUGAUUUAAAUCGGAACAGACAGUACUAUUUGUUAUUUGAUUA